rnacentral:rRNA from 1 species
CCUACGGGAUGCAGCAGUGGGGAAUAUUGGGCAAUGGACGCAACUCUGACCCAGCAACGCCGCGUGAAUGAUGAAGGUCUUCGGGUUGUAAAGUCCUUUGAUGGGGGAUGAACACAAUGACGGUACUCCAAUAGCAAGCCACGGCUAACUACGGGCCAGCAGCCGCGGUAAGACGUAGGUGGCAAGCGUUAUCCGGAUUGACUGGGCGUAAAGGGUGCGUAGGUGGUUUGGUAAGUUGGCGGUGUAAUUCCGGGGCUCAACCUCGGCGCUACCGCCAAAACUAUUAGGCUAGAGUGCAGGAGGGGUAAGUGGAAUGCCUGGUGUAGCGGUGGAAUGCGUAGAUAUUAGGAGGAACAUCAGGGGCGAAGGCGACUUACUGGACUGUAACUGACACUGAGGCACGAAAGCGUGGGGAGCAAACAGGAUUAGAUACCCUUGUAGUC